CUGGUCAGUGAUGAAACUAAUUUUUCUCGUUUGAGUUUAACGACUAUGCGAUAACUACAUGCACUACCAUCUGAGACCAG